AGUGAACGCUGGCGGUAGGCCUAACACAUGCAAGUCGAACGGCAGCACAGUAAGAGCUUGCUCUUACGGGUGGCGAGUGGCGGACGGGUGAGGAAUACAUCGGAAUCUACUUUUUCGUGGGGGAUAACGUAGGGAAACUUACGCUACUACCGCAUACGACCUACGGGUGAAAGCAGGGGAUCUUCGGACCUUGCGCGAUUGAAUGAGCCGAUGUCGGAUUAGCUAGUUGGCGGGGUAAAGGCCCACCAAGGCGACGAUCCGUAGCUGGUCUGAGAGGAUGAUCAGCCACACUGGAACUGAGACACGGUCCAGACUCCUACGGGAGGCAGCAGUGGGGAAUAUUGGACAAUGGGCGCAAGCCUGAUCCAGCCAUACCGCGUGUGUGAAGAAGGCCUUCGGGUUGUAAAGCCCUUUUGUUGGGAAAGAAAAGCAGCAGGUUAAUACCCCGCUGUUCUGACGGUACCCAAAGAAUAAGCACCGGCUAACUUCGUG
rnacentral:rRNA from 1 species